AUGGCGGCGCCCAAUGGAAGCGGCAGCCCCAUUUUGUGCCCGGCAGAGCCUGUCAACAAAACGCCGACUUGGCCAAGGCUGAGGAACAGAAGGCGGCGGCUCGCUCGCGUUACGGAGAGCGGAGGGAGGAGAGCGAAGGAUUUCACCGCCCUCCUCCGCCGAGAGGAGAUUUUCUAUACAGCGUGCGCGUUGGGGGAGGGAGGAGAGGGAGGUGAAGGGGGACGCGAGCAGCGAGCGCGUCAGAGGCGGCCUCGUCCCAGCGCGGAGCGGCGGCGCGGGGGAGGGGAGGCGAGGCGAAGCGAGGCGGUGGCCGUGGCGAUGCUACCGAGGGCGGCGGGAGCGCGGGGCUACGGGAGCGCGGGGCUACGGGGCGUGAGGCGCUGCUCCCCGCGCGCUGCCCGGGCGGAGGGAGCGCUGCUGUCGGAUCGCGGCGAGCCUGCAAUGAGUGACAGGGCGAUCCAGCGCCGCGCCGAGCUAACUAGGUCACGGCCAGCACUUAAUUACUGUUUGUUUCAUUUUAGUGCGUGCCUUAUGAAUAAACCGGCUAUUAGGCUGAUGCUUCAAGUAACACUAUCCAGCACCCAGUUUUGUCUUACAGAGCAGAUUCAUGUGAAUUUUUGCAAUCAGGAGGAAAAAAAAAGCAUUCAAGAGAAGGGAUUUAUGUUAUUUCAGCAUGAUUGGAUUGGCAAGUGUAACAGUCACAGAACGGAGAACGUAUCUAGUAAGAUUUCUGUUGUAUUGGACUCUAAAAAUUACACAUAA
ensembl:lncRNA